rnacentral:misc_RNA from 1 species
GAUUGUGUUCACAAAAGCCAAUUUAAAGUCUCUGAGAAAGGAAAUAAAUAAUUAGAAUAAACGCAUCUAUCAGGGGAUUGGCCCCGAAUCAAGGCUGGCAUCAAAUUUACUGUUUCAUUGUGCAUACUGAAUACUGGUAACUCGGACAUGGUGAAGAAAAAAGCUUGAUUCAAAGUUGAAACUAUGCAAUUGAUGAGGAUAUAAGUUUACA